GGAACAAACUGUUUCCGACACGAACUCGACUUUAAAUUGUCGGGGGGAGGGGACGGAAACUCCAAGGAGAGAACCCCAGUUCCUCACAGGGCUACAAUUUGGAGUUCCGCAGAACAAAAAGACCCGGGCCGUCAACGUGCAAUGCUUUACCACGGGUCCUCUAUUGAGCAGUUCAUCGGGUCGCUGGAAAAUGACGUCAGAAAGCCUGCCGACAGCGAUCGCAGAGCACAGGCCCUUCGACAGUGUGUCGCUUGAAAAUUGCGUCAUAAACACGUUCCCCGCCUGACGUAGUAAAGUUAAAUAUUAACUGGAUUACUGAAUUUUACUUUAUUUUAUAUAUGCAUGCUUAAUUUCAGUUGUUGCGUUUCUAUUUUCGACCUUGAUAUUUGAAUUGUGUCUAUAUCGAUACAUAAAUAAUAAUAUUGUGAGAAGUAAAAAUGAAUUCUUGGGUAUCUGGACCUUAUAAUUCAUUGCACAAUCACAGGCAUUAAGAAGAACGUUUAACCAGACUGAGACGCUGAUACCGGCAGAGAUCACGGAAGAUGUGAAAAAGGAGAUCGAGAAAGUAAGUAACCAUCAUUACAUAAACAGUCAAACGAGUAGCGUGUUGUUGUCACGCUAAAAAUGAAGUUCAUAUUAUUUAUUUUUGUCCGGUGUUUUGUUAUUAAGCGUGAAUCCAUCGUCAGUACCCAUGCAAAAAUGCACAUUCACAUAAAUAUAUAUUAACAUCCAUGGAGACUGGCCUACAUGAAUGAGGUGUCGUGAGGGCGAUACCUGCGCUGACAGGUAGGGGGCGCGCCGUGCUCAUCAUCCUCUGCGCAUGCGCGCCAGUGUCCAGUCAGGGGUCAUUGAGAGGAAGCAGCACACAAACCUUUCUCUUAUGGGAGCAGCUGAAAUAUAUCUUUUAUAGUAAAAGAAGGUGUUUUGAAAGCUCGCAGAACAAACCACCCAUCAAAUAUGAUCUGAUCAGAAUAAAUGUAACUUUAACUAGUACAUACAGUUCUUUUUACAUGUCAUCUUCCAGUGUUGGAGCAGAUUUUCUGGUCCCAUUUGAAGAUUCCCAGAACAUCUGGAGACACGAAACUGCCCGGAGGUUAAACAUCGGCCUUCUGCUUCAAGGAAAGGUCAACCUGAUGGAGCUGGAUAUCAAAUAUCCAGCAAAACUGCUCUGUGACAAAGGACACAGUGGAUGCGUUUUCGGUAGCACUGUGGUGUAGCGAGAAGAGCCUGAGUGCUGCAGAGAAGAGAACAUCUUGGAAAACAAGUGAUGGCAAACGCAGCUGUGAAGUAAAGAUACAGGUGGAGGACACAUAAAGACUGACCUGUACCAGAAAUCAUGGUAUAAGGCAGGGUACAUCCUGGACACAAAGGUGGACAGUGCGAAUCUCUGGGUGAAAAGGCUCCAUCUCCUGCCCAUGGGGGACAACUGGAGAACCACAAGCAAGCAGCAGAAACUGCAGCAGGAGGCCUCUACAAGUACUGCAAGAAGAGGAGUAAAGGUGUCAAAGUGAAUGACGGCAGUGAGUGACGUGUGUUUAAACUGUAUUUGUUUUCUAAUGUAAAUUAUC
ensembl:lncRNA